GUAUGUUUUUAAAGUUAUCGUGCACUUAUUCCCUACGGGAAUAGUUUUUUAGAGUAUCCUUAUUUACAAACUUGGUGGUGUGGUUUUAUAUAUUUUAAUUGUUGGUUAUUUCUGGGGCUUUGCUUGGCUUGCUUAAGUGACAAUAGCAGAUCAAAAACCGUCCACUGGAAAUAAUUGUGUGAUACCAAGCGGCAAUAUUAAUGUUCUUGGGGCGAAAAGGAGAUCCAUCCUUAGUGAGAUUGCUGCAGUCACUUCUAAAGCUUGGCCAUCUCAUUUGGAGAGAUCAAAGGGGAUUAGACACUAUCAGAGGCUGGCGGAAGUAUCUCCAUAAUCAGAGCAGACGACUGGUGACUGACUACUGGUCAUCUUUGCUGCGGUUUCACAGUCUACAGGAACACUAUCAUUGUACUGAGGUUCUAUCGAGUUCUGGAUCAAUCCACUACAUGCUGAAAAUCAAGGAUAAAUAUAUGCCAGGCAUUUAAUUAAUCAUUUAUUAAGCUGUGCCCUGUUCCCUGUGGCUGCACCAUGUAAAGUGG
rnacentral:lncRNA from 1 species